ACUUUCUCAAUCCUCCACUUGCCCUAACCCUAAUCACAUACCCAAUCAUCUUUCGGAAUUUGACCAAUUACUGUUGGAGAAAUCUAGAGUUGGUUUUGAUAAGCUCGAUGAUGCUCUUCGAGUGUUUGAUAAAAUGCUCCGUAUGAAGCCUCUUCCUAUUGUCAUGAAAUUUAAUCAACUCUUGGCCGCCCUUGUCAAGAUGAAACAUUACUCCGCGGCUGUCUCCGUCUUUUCAAAGAUGUGCACUUUUAACAUUGCUGUUGAUAUAGUUACUUAUAGUAUUGUAAUCAACUGUUGUUGCCAUUUGAAACGCGUUGAUUAUGGCUUUGCGCUGUUGGCUGCCAUCUUUAAGCGUGGUUUUGUCCCUACUAUCGUUACCUACACAACUCUUGUUAGGGGACUCAUAUCCCAGGAUAGGUUUCUUGAGGCUGAGCUUAUGUUCAAGAACCUUCUCAAGUACAAUGAGAUUCAGCCCAAUGCAGUUAUUUUUAACACCAUCAUUGACGGCCUCUGCAAAACUGGCAACACUUCCCAGGCUAUGAUGUUGCUUAGAUACAUGGAGAAGAAAGGUUGUAUGCCGAACGUUGUAAAUUAUAACACUAUUAUUGAUGGUUUGUCCAAAGACAGAUUAGUCGAUGAUGCUCUGGGUCUUCUUGCCGAAAUGAGAGACAAAGGCAUUCAACCAGAUGUUGUAACCUACAGCUCACUAAUUCUAGGUCUGUGCAACUUUAACCGAUGGGAUGAUAUAACACAAUUGUUAAAAGAUAUGGACAAACACAAAAUUUCUCCAGAUAAGCAUACUUAUAAUAUAUUGAUUGAUGCACAUGCCAGAGAUGGAAAGGUCAAAGAUGCUGAAUAUCUAAUAGAGUUAAUGAUUCGAAGAGGCCAACCUGCGGAUGUAGUCACAUAUAAUACGCUAAUGGAUGGAUACUGCUUGAGAGGAGAGUUGGAUAAAGCGUUAGCAGUGCUCAGAAUCAUGAGAAAUGAGGGGAUUUUCCCCGAUGCUCAUACCUAUACCAUAUUGAUCAAUGGUUAUUGUAAAAAGAUGAAAGUAGACACAGCCAUACAUCUCUUAGAAGAAAUGACCCUGAAAGGUUUAACACCUGCAAUCGAAACGUACAAUACUAUUCUAGAUGGGUUAUUUCGUGCGCGUAGGCUUGAUGAAGCACAUAAGUUUUAUAAGAAGAUGUUAAACCAAGGUGUUAAACGGAAUGUAGUGACAUGCAGGAUCUUGUUGCAUGGACUUUGCUGGAAUGGACUUGUUGUUGAAGCAAUGUCCGUGUUUCACAAGAUGGAGUCAUGUGGUUUAGUUCCUGACAUACAAAUUUAUUCUAUUCUGAUUCAUGGAUUGUUCAAGAAUGGCAAGGUUGACGAGGCAAGAAACCUUUUUCAAACUAUUCUUUUCAAGGGUUUACGGCCUAGUGUCAUAUCUUACAACAUUAUGAUCCAAGGAUUCUGUCAAGAGGGGUUGCUGGAAGAAGCAUAUAAUAUACUCUUGGAAAUGGAAGAAAACAAUUGCUUGCCUGAGGAAGUUACAUACAAUACUCUUAUCCGCGGCUGCUUUAAGAAUAAGAUGUAUGAUGGAGCUUGUGUGCUUAUAGAUGAAAUGUGUGCUCAUGGUUUCAAAGCAGAUGCCUCUACCACCUCCAUGCUAUUUGAUUUGCUGCAAUCGAAGGAGCAGGACCCUGCGCUCCAUGCUUUGCAAAAGAAGUUCAUGCCUUGAGUACAUCAAUGAGAGAGUUUAUUAAGGUACAAAAUACUUUUAAAUUGCCGGAACUUUGUAAUAGUUUGCUACAAUAUUUUAAAUCAAUAGCAAUUGUGAUAUUGGAGUUGAUAAAAUAUUUGAGUUUGUUAAAUAUUUACUUUUGAAGUGGUGGCCGUGUUGUCUUUGCAUCAUUUUGCAAAACGAGAAGUAUGAUAAAGCAUGCAUUUUUUCUUCGGCAAAAUACUAGAAGCUGGGUUCUUAGGGGAUGCAUACCACCUGUGUAUUACGAGACCUACUUGGAACAAAUUAGCUGGAUCCUUCUACUCUUUCUUUUCGUAAAAAGUUUGCCAUGACACUCUGCAGCAUUAUAUUUUACUUGCAUUACAUUGUAAGUUUGUCUUCUAUUUUUGCAGUCGACUACCAGUUAUUUCAAGUACUGUAUGGGUUACAUGUAGUUGCAUAAAGGUGUCUUCAGUGCAGCAAAUGUGAAGUACACCAACAUUUCCAUUUAUUUUGUUGAUAUAUUAGUUCUUAGUAUUAUAUAUUUUAUUCCUUGUCUCUUUGUAAUUUUAAUAUCUCUUCUAAAAUACAGGGAAAUGAUCCAAAAUACUAUCCUCUGUUUUUAAAUUUGUUUUCAUUUUCAAAUAAUUAAUUUUUUUUCAUUUUACUAUGUUCACAAAAUUUUAUAUAAAUUGCCUAAAUUUAAGUUUGUUUAUACGGAAAUACUCUAAGCAACUAAGUAUGAGCCUAUCUGUAACUAUUAUAUAAAACCAUUGCGGAGACGAUGAGAAAGGCUGUCACUACAUCCUCAGUGUCUUACUAUUAUUUACUUUCUCAUUUCUCACAACCUGAUCCUAGUCCCAGUAUUCAAAUCCCCAUAUAUUCCUUCUUCAUCUAUACCUCAUUUGUAGCUUCAGCAGUUACUUCAUAAGGAAUAUGAGGUUUGUUUUGAUAUUAACUAUUCUUUAUGAUUGACUUCAAUCAACUGUUAUCCGCCAUCGCUAAAACAUAACAAUACACUGUUGCUGUUUCUUUUUAGUGAUAUUUGUACAUUCUCCAUUCCAGUUGAUCUAUAUACCAUUAAUACCGUCAUUUAUUAUUGUUGUCAACUGAAUAGAGUUUAUAAUGCUUUUUCAUGAAGUGUCUUCUUUUGCCAAAUGUUAUCUACACCAUACUCUUAGAGCAACUCCAAUGGGGGUACCAUUAAUACACUGUUGCUGUUUCAUGAAGCGUCUUCUUUUGCCAAAUGUUGUUACCUACACCAUACUCUUAAGGGGUUAUCUCUCAUGACAAACCUCUGUAGGUUGAGCACUGGUUCGAGAAGCUCAGCAUAAUCAGACUAAUUGAACCUGGUGUUGUUCCAUUAUUGAUAGGUUGCAACAAACCUAUCAAUAUGGACCUUCCACUCUUGCAAGUUUAAUAAAUAUGUUCUCAACAUCAUAUUUUUGUUUUGGGCUGCUAACAAGCGCUUUUAAGUUCGCAAAGUACCAGAGUGCCCACCCUAGGAGCUUCCAUGAUUUUCAUGGACCAGCAUAUACUUGUGAUUUAAUUGUCACAAUUCUAUUAGUUCUGACCAUUAGAUCCAGGCGUGGCAAAACAGUUAACAGAAGCACCUUCAUAUCCAAAGCUAUUCACGACCCAUGCCAAAAGCCAUUCAUUCAGCAUCUUCCGCAUCUUUCAUUCCAUGAUUUCAAUCAUUAGCUGUUGUUCAUUUUAAUUCCUUUUGCUAAUCCCCAGGGGACCAUUCCAUUUAUCCGUUCUUCUCUCGGAGACCUCUUUUUUAGUUUUGUCUUUGUCAUUGAUUAGCGAUACGUCUACCUGAUCUCCCCAAAUGAACAUGUCAGUAGGAUGGUACAUGCCAAUGUUCGAGUAAAUGCUAUAUACAUACAUAGUUAUAUUCACGUCUCCUGAUUAGCAAAAACGUCCACUUCUUGGGUGAUUCAACUUGUAAAGGUUAGUUUUCUCCAAAAACUUUUUUUUUUUUUUUAUGUUUUUGUUGUGUUCUUUGGUUUGUGUUGCUGAUAAAGAUGAUAGGAUUGAUUGAUGAUCUUUUUGUGCUAAAGUCAAGAUUAUGGGAUGUUUUGUGUUCGUUUGAAGUUUUGGUAUCGAACUAUAUGAUCUCACAAUUGUUGUGAGUUUGACCACUUUAUCUUUAUUUAUAAAUUUAUUUUUAUUGUAUUUACAAGACCACUUUACUUUCAAAUGCAUAAAUAUUAAAGCUUGAUGGUGUUUUUUUUGGGUUUUAUGUGUGUGAACUCUGAUUGUAUUGGUUUCUUUAUUGCUUGAUGUUUUUGUAGAGUUUGGUGCGUGCAGGAGUUGUGAAGAAACUUUGAGGAGUUUUGGGCCAUUCUUGAUUUAGGUCAUUACUAAAUGUGGACCAUAAGGAGUGUUGUCUACAUGAUGGGCUUCUGUGGUCAAGGACUCAAGGUUCUGGGCAACACUUUAAUGGGGACUUUUCAAUGGCUGUAGUUCAAGCUAAUAAUUUACUGGAGGCUCAGAGUCAGCUUGAAUCAGGCUGUCUGAGCUUUAACGAGUCAGGCCUGUAUUGUACUAUUGUAGGAGUUUAUGAUGGACAUUGUGGCCCUGAGACAUUGCCUUUAUCAGUGUUCAACUCUUUCAGCUUCUAAAGAGUAACUAUCUUUUCUUCCAAUAGAGUUUUAAGUCAUUGUAUUGGAUUUGUUAGUUUCUUACAAGAACUAAGAUAUACUAAAUGGACGCAAACUGUAGAUUUUGUUGAAUACUGAUGCUUAUUAUUCGUUUGAACCUUCAUGAUGACCAAAUAAAUGUUGUGGCUUACUUGUUUCGUGCAUGUUUUUGUUUUAGGCGAAACCCUAUUACAUUUGACACGUACCUUAAAAAAAACAUAGGGUGGUUCCAUUCAUGUAUGGGAAACCAAAUAAAAUGAACUUGUAAACAAUUGAGGAAUCAUUGAUGUGUAUGCUUUUAGUCUCUCUUACUUUUCCAUGGGUUUGAGGUUAAGUAUCUAUCUGUGUUUUGCAGAAUUUGCAUCUGAGCAUCAAUCCAUGUCAGAGGAGUUAAUAAGAAAGGCAUUUCAUGCAACAGAAGAGAGUUAUACAUCUAUUAUUCGCAAGCAAUGGCCAAUACAAAUUACAACUUGCCGCAGUCGGGUCCUGUUGCUGGGUUGGAGUGAUAUGCAUGGAAAUCUCUAUAUUGCAAAUCUUGGUGACUCAUGUGCUGUGUUAGGCACACUUGUCAAGCCAAGAGGGGAAGUUCUUGCUAUUCAGCUUUCAGCGGAACAUAAUACGUGCAUCGAGUACGAAGACGAGAGUUGCAUUCUGUUCACCCAGAUGAUCGGCAGAUAGUUGUAAUCAUAUGUAGUUCCUGUCUUCAGGUCCCAGAUCUGUCUUUCAAAAGCCGAGAACAACUCAAAAAAUGUAAGACUCUGAACUUGUAAAUAUAUACUUUUCACUAGCCAUUUGGGCUGCCACAAUGAUGUCUAACACCUUGAAGGCCUCAGUUGUGGUGUUUACCGGAACCGGCUCCAUGGCUAUUCUUCUCAGCCACUAUCAUCCUUCUGGAACUAUUUUUGCCUUUGCAAAUGAGUAAGUUUCACAAUUACAUUCUUAAUUUGAGUAUUGCCCUUACCUUCCUUGAUUGCAGGUGCUGAUUGAAGGUACAUGGAGGUUCCAGUCGGGUCCUGUUGCUGGGUUGGAGUGAUAUGCAUGGAAAUCUCUAUAUUGCAAAUCUUGGUGACUCAUGUGCUGUGUUAGGCACACUUGUCAAGCCAAGAGGGGAAGUUCUUGCUAUUCAGCUUUCAGCGGAACAUAAUACGUGCAUCGAGUACGAAGACGAGAGUUGCAUUCUGUUCACCCAGAUGAUCGGCAGAUAGUUGUAAUCAUAUGUAGUUCCUGUCUUCAGGUCCCAGAUCUGUCUUUCAAAAGCCGAGAACAACUCAAAAAAUGUAAGACUCUGAACUUGUAAAUAUAUACUUUUCACUAGCCAUUUGGGCUGCCACAAUGAUGUCUAACACCUUGAAGGCCUCAGUUGUGGUGUUUACCGGAACCGGCUCCAUGGCUAUUCUUCUCAGCCACUAUCAUCCUUCUGGAACUAUUUUUGCCUUUGCAAAUGAGUAAGUUUCACAAUUACAUUCUUAAUUUGAGUAUUGCCCUUACCUUCCUUGAUUGCAGGUGCUGAUUGAAGGUACAUGGAGGUUCCAGUUAGUAUUUAAAGUUGAAAGAAACAGGCACCUGCCCUGUAAAUUUAUCCUGGGUUUCUUUUGACUGGUUUCAGAGGUUAUGGACAAACUGGCAAAGGAGGAUAUUUUAACUAAAUGCGGAACAAAUGCUUACAUUAUUAAUAAGCUGAAGGUUUUUUAUAUAUAACUUAUGUUUCUAUUUAUUUCCUUGUUAGUUUUCCUUUCGUGAUCCUCACUGUCAUGGAAACAACAGUUCCAGAAAUCUGACUAUGAAUUUGAAGCUGUCAAAGAGGAAAAUUAUGGCCAGAUAUUUCGAAAUGGCAGUAAAGUUCAGCCAAACAUGGAUGAGGAUCAUAUGUGCAUGAGAUAAAUGUAGACCAACUAUAUUUGACUUGUAUAUAUUUUCUUUUUUAGGGGCGAAGUGUUUCUCUUCUGCUAACUAAGUACGGGAUCCAGUAACUAAUUAGCUUCUAUUCUUGUUUAUGUAUGUAUCCUCUCUACUGAAAACUCUUACUUCCAAUUUUUUUAAAGCUCCUUUAAGUUCUGGUUAAUGAGUUUUUGCAAGUUUUCAAUUUUACCUACAUAUGUGAGUCAAGAUAGAAAAUAAGUCUGAGAAGAAUGCAUAAAUUAUUUUUAGUUGUAAUCUAAUUUAUAAUUGCAGAUCUCAUAUGUUUUUGUAUAAGCUUUCUUGUAAGACUAUAAAUUUGUUUUAUCAAAUAUUUGUGUGGGAGUUAAUUUAUAGUGAUAAACAUAAUGUGAUGUCACCUAUCCUUUACCUUAUAGAAUAGUAGCGGUGAUCGCGGUGCGGGCGGUGCAGUUUUUCGCUAAAACCGCGAACCAAACCGCAUUGAAAACUCAAACCGAACUGCACCACGCUACAAAAAAACCGUAUAAACCGCAUCACAAAAAUGCGGUGCGGUUUGUAUGAAGAAUAAAUAUUUUUAGUUGAAGUCAUAAAAAAAAUUGAAUAUAUGAUAAUUAAAACCUUUUCUUGUAAUGAAUUCAUAUAAUAUUUAUCAUUUCAGAGCUGCAACAACUACUAAAAUAACACAAACAAAAGUGUAAAUAUAAUAAUAAAUAUAAAUACUAACUACUAAGAGACAUAUUAUUGUAAUAUAUUCAUAUCAUACUAAUUUGGUAUAAUAGUAAUGCAAGAUUGAUAAAAUAAUAAUUAAUUAUUAUUUGAAGAGAUUUAACAAAUAUAUGGAACAUAAUUAUAAAUAAUAUAUAUGUAUAUAAUAUAAUUUUAUUUGAUAAUCAUUAAUAUAUAUAUAUAUAUAUAGGCUCAUGAUCAAAUAGAAACCACUCUUAAAAUAAAAACUAGAAACCAGUUUACCUACCACUAUUUAUAACUACGGGUAUCACUAAUUUAUACUGCACUAAUCACUGUUUUUAUACAGUAUGUAAACAUCGAUUUUUCUUAUCAAAAUUGAGAAAAUCUACUUAUCAAAAUUAUUGAUAAUCGAUUAUAGAUGAUUAAUUUCAUCCGUAUGAAGGUUCUUGGUGGUAGGUUGCCGCAAGAGAAGUUGUAUGAUGAUAGUAAGUAGUCGUUAGUUUUGUAUGUUAUGAUGGAAAGUGUAUGUGACUAUUGGUGAUGAUAGACAAUAGUGGCAAGUCAUAGAAACGUUUGGUAAUGGUGGUAAGAGGUCCAUUAUUACGAUUUGGGUGAAGAUGAUGGUCAUAUACGUUGCAUAUAUGUGUAUAUAUAUAUUUAUAUUCGCGUGAUAUGAUAUAUAUAAAUUAGUGAUAUGUUAUGUACAAAUUAGUGAAUUCUGUAGUUAAAAAUAGUGAUAAAAAACUGUCCAAAAACUGGUUUUUAGUUUUUAGGCUAUUUUGGUUUCUAUUGGAGUAGGACUCUAUAUAUAUAUAUAUAUAUAUGUAUGUAUGUAUGUAUGUAUGUAUGUAUGUAUGUAUGUAUGUAUGUAUGUAUGUAUNNNNNNNNNNNNNNNNNNNNNNNNNNNNNNNNNNNNNNNNNNNNNNNNNNNNNNNNNNNNNNNNNNNNNNNNNNNNNNNNNNNNNNNNNNNNNNNNNNNNNNNNNNNUAUAUAUAUUAUAAUAUUGCGGUGCGGUGCAGUUUGAACCACACUACUAAUAUGUCAAACCGCAACCCGCACCGCACCGCGUGGUUUGUGAAAAAUACAAACCGCAACCGCACCACGAAAAUUAAAAACCGCGUUUUGUGGUGCGGUGCGGGCGGUUUACGCGGUUUGGACGGUUUUUUGAUCACCCCUAUAGAAUAGUAUUGCUCAAUUAUUUUACAAUCACUUGUAGGUAUUUUUAUCACGCUCUUGCAAUGGACUACAUUACUGUUUCCAUGUUUCACAACAAGCUCGAAGUAGAGAAGUAGAAGUCAACCAUACCACUGUGCACAAACUAAUUGAUAAGAUGACAAAAGAAGGGUUUGACGAAGCUCAAAGCAAUAGAAGACUUGGUGUGAAAAUGGAGCAUUAAAAUUACAUUUGGUGCAUGAAUCAGAUUUGUUGAUCGAUAUUUACAUAUUCCUUUUAUUUUUGUAGGCAAGCCGGUGAUCAAUCCUUAUUUAACUGAGAAAAAAUUGCAUGAAGUCGAGAAAAACAAACUUGAACCUUAAUUAGAUGGUGGAAGUUCUGUAGGCACAUUACAACGCAAGUUUCUAUAAUUUUCUUGUGAACAGAUUUUUAAUAUGAAAAUUAUGUUGAUAGGAGCUAAAAGAGCUCUAAAGGAAGAUGAACCACUUAAAACCUCAGACAAUUGUUACAUAAUUGAUCAAAUUAUUUCUCCUCUAACUUGAACAGAAUGAUUCACUACUUUAACUCUUUAGUGAUAACCAGGAAGCAAAGAAAAUUGUCUACUUGUGGCGGAGCUCAAUUAGAUCAGAUCUAACUCGCAUGAUAGCCGAGCCUGAUGCUUAUCAAAACGGAUGUGUCAGGAGUGACCAUACUGUUGUAAGGAUGAAAGAGCAUGGAACCCUCACAAGCAGAGCUCAGGUUUGUCCGGUCAACAACUGCCUUAAAUUUACCAAGUCAGAGAUGUUUUGCUUUUUGAUUUUCUAUGUUCCGUGACCCAAAAACCUGUAAUCUGACCUUUUUUAAUCAAGCAACCAACAGCUUCUAGAGAGAGUUUUGCACAAGUAAUGAAAAUUGUGAAAAUUGCAGGGAGUUUGAUGCAAUCAUGUGUAGCAAGUCGUCAUCUCAGAGCAAGUGGUCACAAAAGCAGGCAAUGCAAGUGCUGUAAGCUUCAUGGUUGUGUUUUUAUAUUUAGUUAAUUGUCAUCGGCCAUUAAAGAGAUCCAAUGUCAUAAGAUUAAUACUCUAUAUACACACACAAAAAGUAUCAUUUUCUGAUUUCAAAGUUGUGCAUGUAUAUCCCCCUUCUGUUAAUUAUAUGUAUAUCCUCACGAUAAGAUUUUUUAGUGCAGAAUAAGAAUGUAACAAUAAAAUGACAUAUUGUUGUUGAGUAUUACAGUAAUGACCAACCAACCUAAUUUCUAGAACGAAAGUAGUCUUAAACGACUCUUUUGUAGAGGCUUAAGUUUUCAUUUUUUUGGUGACAGGUUAAGGAUCCUAUCCUUCAGUGCACUAAACGCCAGAAGACUCAAGUCGCCUAAAAAGAAUCGGACUAUAUGGCCAUAUAAUUUCUGGUGCUUAUUUCUACUUAUCCCUAUUUCAUGAGCCUAAUAGACUUUUCUACUUCAUAUAUCACUUGAAUCAGUUUUCUACCUUUUUUUGUUGAGCCUUUUUUUUUAGUAUACAUUCUCUCUCAUUUCAUUCAACACUUCUUCUAUCAAGCAUGUAUAUCGAGCAUGUAUGUGUCCAUUUAUAAAAAUAAGCGAUUCAUACCAGGUUCGUGCCUUGCAUGCAGGGCCAUUCCAUACCUUUUGAGGGCUCAGGGGCCAAAAAAGAAAAUGGGCCCUAUUUUUUUUUUGCUUCGCUAAAUUUGAUAAAAUAUAACCUUGUAACAAUGCAAACUCAAAUUUUAGUCAACUUCCGUAAGAAAAUAACUAUAAAAUGAUGAAGUUUAGCGAUAAAGUGUACCGGAUGUAAAAAAAAGAAGAUUAAACAAAUAUUUGAUGACAUUUAUCUGUUAGUGCAUGAUUGAUAGUACCAUUAGUUUAGGUACGGACGUAGUCACUUAGGAUAGAAUAGGCUUACAGGACUGAUAUAUACUAAUAACAAUACAUAAAUUAUAAAAAUUUUGGGCCCUUAAAUUUUUUGGGCCCUGGGCGGUCGCCCUGGUUGCCCUCCCUCUGGGCCGGGCCUGCUUGCAUGGGCACUAAUGCUAGUUAAAACUGAUAUAACAAUCCAGUAUCUAUACACACUUAGCAUCUUUUUGCUCCAAAGCUUUGGCCUUCUUUUUCUGUUCUGCAAACCUACCUUCAAGCAUUGAAACCUUUUCUUCUAGUAAUGAAAUAUUUUCUUCCAAAUAAAUCCUUUUGUUAUUCAGUUGGGUUACAAUAUAUGUGCCUUCCUUCAAUCUCAACAUCGAACCAUUCAAACUAAUCACUGGUAAUUUUUUUUCAUAAUUAAAGAAAAAAUUCAUCACUAAUUCAUUGCUUGCAAUUAAUAAAACCAAAAACUUACUUAUGAUUGACAACAUGUAUUAAAUCUUUGUCUAGUGUUUUUCAAAGACCAAGAACGGUAAAUCUUUGCUUUCUGUCAGCAAAUCACAAAUAUUAUUAUGUGCUGAAAGUUGAGAAGAUCUUACUGAGUUCAUUGACCUGGAGCAAACUUGAGGUGAUUUUGCUGAGUUCAUUGACAUGGAGUUUUCAAAUAUCAGCUUUUUCAGAAGAACAUUAAUAUUUUUAAAUUUUUUGGAUAUAAAUGUUAAAGAAAUUUUAUAUUCGUUAUGUGAUUAAGAACAAGGAUUUGUUCAAAAAGUCUUAUUUUUUUAAACAUUAAUAUUUUUAUAAUUUUUUAGAUAUAAAUGUUAAAGAAGUAUUUUAUAUUCGUUAUUUGAUUAAAAACAAAGACUUAUUUUAAUAAAAGUUGAGUUUUAUGUAUUUUUUCCCUAGAAAUAAACUCUUAUUUUUCUGGAAAAUAGAAUUAGCCAAAAAGCACGCUUAGUUUUGGAAGUUUCGUUGUCUUGCAAUAUGACUUAUAGUCGGUUUGUCCUAGCGGACUUAAAACUGUUUCUGGCCUAUUUAUAUAAUAAGUUAAUUAGUUAUUUUUAUUAAACUGUGUAAUUUUUAAAAAUAAAUAUAUAAUUUAAAUUUUAAAAGUGCUUAUCAAAAAAUUGUAGAAGACUGAUUUUUUUUUUCUUCUUGCACACAAACACCACCUAGAUUAAAGAAAAUGGUCUCACCUGGGGUCAAAGUCAUUUUAAAUGCGUUACCAACAAUACAAAUGCAAAAGACAAGCAGCAUUCUCUUUUUUUAAAGAAACAACGGAGGAGCAGAGUUUCUAAAAACAAGGGCAAGUGCAAGAUGAAGACGAUGAUGAGAACGAGGAGGGCUUUCACUACUGGCCUCACUUCAAACACUCUUCUUCCACUCCCAAGACCUAUACUAUAUUCUCUUUUGGAUGGCUUAUUUCGUACGCGUAGGCUUGAUGAAGCACAAAAGUUUUAUAGGAAGAUGUUAAACCAAGGUGUUAAACUGGAUAUAGUGACAUGCAGGAUCUUGUUGCACGGACUUUGCUGGAAUGGACUUGCUGUAGAAGCAAUGUCCGUGUUGCAUGAGAUGGAGUCAUGUGGCUUAAUUCCUGAUAUACGCAUUUAUAAUAUCUUGAUUCAUGGAUUGUUCAAGGACGGCAAGGUUGAUGAGGCCAGAAGCCUUUUUUAUAAUCUUCGUUUGAAGGGUUUACAGCCUAGUGUCAUAUCUUACAACACUAUGAUCCAAGGAUUCUGUCAAGAGGGGUUGCUGGAAGAAGCAUAUAGCAUACUUUUGGAAAUGGAAGAAAACAAUUGCUUGCCUAAUGAAGUUACAUACAACACUCUUAUCUGUGGAUGCUUUAAGAAUAAGAUGUAUGAUGGAGCUUGUGUACUUAUAGAUGAGAUGUGCAUUCAUGGUUUCAAAGCAGAUGCCUCUACCACCUCCAUGCUAUUGGAUGUGCUGCAACCGAAGGAGCAGAACCCCGCCCUCCUUGCUAUGCAGAAGAAGUUCAUGCCUUGAGUACAUCAAUGAUCGAGUUUAUUAAGGUACAAAAUACUUUUAAAUUGCCGGAACUUUGUAAUAGUUUGCUAAAGAAACUUAAAUCAAUAGCAACUGUGAUAUUGGAGUUGAUAAAAUAUUUAAUUUCAUGAAAUAUUUACUUGGGAAAUGGUGGCCGUGUUGUAUUUGCAUCAUUUUACAAAAUGAGAAGUAUGAUAAAGCAUGCAUUUUUUCUUCGACAAAAUGCUAGAAGCUGGGUUCUCAGCGGAUGCAUACCACCAUUAUAGUUGCAUAAAGGUGUCUUGAGUGCAGCAAAUGUGAAGUACAUCAACAUUUCCAUUUAUUUUGUUGAUAUAUUAGUUCUUAGUAUUAUAUAUUCUGUUCUCUAUCUCUUUAUAAUUCUAAUAUCUCUUCUAAAAUACAGGGAAAUAAUCCAAAAUACUAUCCUCUGUUUCUAAAUUUGUUUUCUGUUUCAAAUAAUAAACUUGUUUUCAUUUUUACUAUGUUCACAAAUUUUUAUAUAAAUUGCCUAAAUUCAUUCGGUAAUACUCUAUGCAACUAAUAAGUAUAAACCCAUCUGUAACUAUUGUUUUAAAAUAUAACACCAUUCUGGAGAUGAUGAGAAAGGCUGUCACUAUAUCCUCUGUCUUACUCUUUACACCAUUUCUAAUUUAUUACUCACUUUCUCAUUUCUUCACUACCUGAUCCUAGUCCCAGUAUUAAAUCCCCCUAUAUUCCUUCUUCAUCUAUACCUCAUUUGCAGCUUCAGCCGUUACUUCAUUAAGAAUAUGAGGUUCGUUUUGGUUAACUAUUCUUGUGUGAUUGACUUCAAUCAACUGUUAUCCGCCAUCGUUAAAACAUAAUCGGAAAGUCUCUAUAUGAAGUUACAAUACUACACUCUUAUCCGUGGCUGCUUUAAGAAUAAGAUGUAUGAUGGAGGUUGUGUGCUGAUAGAUGAUAUUUGUGCUUAUGGUUUUAAAGCAGAUGCCACUACCACCUCCAUGCUAUUCGAUUUGCUGCAUUCAAAAGAGCAGGACCCCGCACUCCUUGCUUUGCAGAGAAGUUCAUGCCUUGAGUACAUCAAGGAGAGAGUGUAUUAUGGUACAAAAUACUUUUAAAAUGCCAGGACUUACUAAUAAUUUGUUACAAACUUUGACGUCAAUAGCAAUUGUGAUAUAGGAGUUGAUAAUAUGUAAUUUUGUUGAAUAUCAGCUUUGCAAAUGGUGUCUGGGUUGUAUUUGCAUUAUUUGACAAAAUGAAAAGAAUGAUAAAGCUUGUGUUUUUUCUUCGACCAAAUGCAGGAAGCUGGGUUCUCUGGAGAUGCAUACCACCAGUAUAUUACAUUACAAGACCUGUACGGAACAAAUUACCUGGACCCUUCUACUCUUGCUUUGCGGUGAAAAUUUUGUCAUGGGUACUGCAAUCUCAUGACGCAAACACUCUGCAGCAUUAUUAUUUACUUGCAUUACAUUGUAAGUUUGUCUUUUAUUUCUGGCAGGCUGCUAAGACUUAACUUAAUUACUGUAGGGCUAACAUGUAGUUGCAUAAUGGUGUCUUGAGUGCAGCAAAUGUGAAGUACACCAACAUUUCCAUUCAUUUAUUGAUGUAUUAGUUAUUUGUAUUAUAUAUUCUAUUCGUUGUCUCUUUGCCAUUUCUUCAUUUCUUCACUACCUGAUCCUAAUCCCAGUAUUCAAAGCCCCCUAUAUUCCUUCAUCUAUACCUCAUUUGCAGCUUCAGCAGUUACUUCAUUAGGAAUAUGAGGUUUGUUUUGAUUAACUAUUCUGUAAUUGACUUCAAUCAACUGUUAUCCGCCAUCUUUAAAACAUAACCAUACACUGUUGCUGUUUCUUUUUACUGAUACUUGUAGUUUCUCCAUUCCAGUUGAUCUAUAUACCAUUAAUACCGUCAUUAAUCAUUGUUGUCAAUUGAAUAGAGUUUAUUAUGCUUUUUCAUGAAGCGUCUUCUUUUGCCAAAUGUUGUUACCUACACCAUUCUCUAUAGGGGGUUAUCUCCCAUGACAAACUUCUGGAGGUUGAGCACUGGUUCGAGAAGCUCAGCAUAAUCAGACUAAUUGAACCUGGUAUUGUUCCAUUAUAGAUAGGUUGCAACAACUCUUGCAAGUUUAAUAAAUUCUUCUCAACGUCUUAUUUUUGUUUCGGGACCUUCCACUCUUGCAUUAUUGAUAGGUUGUAACAAGCUUUGUAAGUUGGCAAGUACCAGAGUGCCACCUCAGGAGCUUACAUGAUUUUCAUGGACCAGCAUAUACUUGUGAUUUAAUCGUCACAAUUGUAUCUUUGACUGAUACAUGGGUUGUGUUAGGCUGCUCCUUAGGAGCUUCAAAAAUCAUCCUUUUUUUUUUCCAAAUUUUAAAUAUGUUAUUUAUAAUACAAGAUAUAUGACCUUGUAUUUAUUAUAUACUAGAAUCACCUUUCACAUGUAUCAGAUAAUAGAAUUUGUAAUAAAACUAAAAAUUUAUAGUGACUUACCACGAAACUCCAUAAAAAACUAUAAAUUAUAUUUAUAUUGAAUUAUUAUAUUUUACUAAUUCUAUGAAAUAUGAAUUAUGUUGAAUAUUAAACUAAGGGAGUUGAAGGUGUAUUCGUCGUGAUUUUAAUAGAUUAAUUUAUGAAUGUUAAUAGAUUGUAUGUGAUUUUGGGCGGAUUCUUAAUAAAAUGUCGUUUAACUAGUAUAGUUUUGUUAGGAUUUAAGCACAAUACUUCAAAAUAUUAUAUAUUUUGGUGGAAUUUCAAAAAGUUCAAAAUAUACCGACCAAUACCACAAAUCCAUCAUUUUAUGAAGUUCAAAAAAAUCUAUCAUAUCUGAAUACCAUCACAUUUCAAUGGAUUUUAAAAAAUCCCAAUUGAAUAGCGUUAGAUUUUAUAGCAUAAUUGAAAAUCCGAUUAAAUAUCACCAUAUAUUGUAGUAUGAUAUAAAAUUCCAAUUGAAUACCACGAAUAAAAAUCUUUAAAAAUCCCAAUUAAAUACACCUGCUAAAUAUAAUUUCGCUUAUUUAUAAACACCCUAAAAUAAUAACUAAGAGCAAGUCUGAUAGGUUAACUAUUUCCUUGUAUAAUACUAUAGAAUAGUGAAUCUUAGAUUUAGAAGAUCUACUUUUAUUUAGAAUAUUUAGAAAUUCUUAUUUUUGUUCCCUAUUAUUAUUUUAACAAUAAAUUUUAGGAAAAGAAGGAAGAAAUGAGAGAAAAGAUAAAAAAAAGAAAUACAUUGUUUAUUCAUAAAUAUUAAAUAUAUAAUGAUUAGAGAUUACCUAAAAUAGUUAAUAAUUAGAAAAUUUGGGAAUGCGCUAAUAAUUUAGAUAAUCAGCAUAUAAUAGUGUUCCAUAUGUUUUUUAUAUGUCAUUUUUGACUUGAGCACACACUUUUAGGUUGGUAAACUGGACAUUAAUUAUUAUUAUUUUUAAUUAAUUUUUUUGUGAAAUAAAAUUUGGAUUACAUAAUUUUUCAUAAAAAAGCAUUCAAAAAUAAUAUUUUUAACUCUUUAGUCAAAACAAUUAAAAAAUAUGUAUCACAAGUUAAAACGUCAUAUAUUAAAAAUAGAGGGAGUAUAAUUGGAGGGGGAGAGCAUUAUUAAAGUCGAAUACAGAAAUGAGAAAGUAAACUUGCGAAAAGGGAAAGUAACUGAGAGAGUGAGGAGGAGGAUGAUGUCGAGAAUGAGGAGGGCUUUCACUGCUUGCUUCAGCUCAAACGCUAUUUGUGACAAGGGCUUUCUUGGUUUCCUGAGACACGGUACUCCUGCUCUUACUACUACUAGUUCUUCUUGUCGUGUUAUUACAUUGCUUCGUUUGCAUUCACUCUCUCAAUCCCCCACUUGCCGUAACCCUAAUCACACACCCAAUCAUCUCUCCGAACUUCAACAAUUAUUGUUGGAGAAAUCUAGAGUUGGUUUUGAUGAGCCUGAUGAUGCUCUUCGAGUGUUUGAUAAAAUGCUCCGUAUGAAACCUCUGCCUAGUGUUAUGGACUUUACUCAACUCUUGACCGCCCUUGUCAAGAUGAAACAUUACUCCGUGGCCGUCUCUGUCUUUUCAAAGAUGUGCUAUUUUAGCAUUCCUGUUAAUAUAGUUACUUAUAGUAUUGUAAUCAACUGUUGUUCCCAUUUGAAACGCGUUGAUUAUGGGUUUGCGCUGUUGGCUGCCAUCUUUAAGCGUGGUUUUGUCCCAGAUGUUGUUACCUACACAACUCUAGUUAGGGGGCUCGUUUCCCAGGACAAGUUUCUCGAGGCUGAGCUUAUGUUCAAGAACCUUCUCGAGCACAAUCAAAUUGAGCCUGAUGCAGUUAUCUUUAACACCAUUAUCAAUGGCCUUUGCAAAACAGGCAACACUUCCCAGGCUAUGAGGUUGCUCAGAUACAUGGAGAAGACACGUUGUAUGCCCUGCGUAGUAACUUAUAGCACUGUUAUUAAUAGUUUGUCCAAAGACAGAUUAGUCGAUGAUGCUUUGGGUCUUCUUGCCGAAAUGAGUGACAAAGGCAUUCAACCAGAUGUUGUAACCUAUAGCUCGUUAAUUCAAGGUCUGUGCAACCUUAACCGAUGGGAUGAUAUAACACAAUUGUUAAAAGAUAUGGACAGACACAAAAUUUCUUCAAACAAGCAUACCUACAGUAUAUUGGUUGAUGCACAUGCGAAAGAUGGAAAGGUCAGAGAUGCUGAGUAUCUGAUAGAGUUAAUGAUUCGAAGAGGCCAAAAUCCUAAUGUAGUCACCUACAGUGCACUUAUGGAUGGAUACUGCUUGAGAGGAGAAUUGGAUAAAGCGUUUGCACUGCUCAGAACCAUGAGAAAUGAGGGGAUUUUGCCCAACGCGAAGACCUAUACCAUAUUGAUCAAUGGUUAUUGUAAGAAGAUGAAAGUAGACACAGCAAUACAUCUCUUAAAAGAAAUGACCCUGAAAGGUUUAACACCUACAAUUGAAACGUACAAUACUAUUCUGGAUGGGUUAUUUCGUGCGCGUAGGCUUGAUGAAGCACAAAAGUUUUAUAGGAAGAUGUUAAACCAAGGUGUUAAACUGGAUAUAGUGACAUGCAGGAUCUUGUUGCACGGACUUUGCUGGAAUGGACUUGCUGGUGAAGCAAUGUCCGUGUUGCAUGAGAUGGAGUCAUGUGGCUUAGUUCCUGAUAUACGCAUUUAUAGUAUUCUGAUUCAUGGAUUGUUCAAGGACGGCAAGGUUGACGAGGCAAGAAACCUUCUUCAUAAUGUUCGUUUGAAGGGUUUACACCCUGAUUUCAUAUCUUACAACAUUAUGAUCCAAGGAUUCUGUCAAGAGGGGUUGCUGGAAGAAGCAUAUAAAAUACUUUUGGAAAUGGAAGAAAACAAUUGCUUGCCUAAUGAAGUUACAUACAACACUCUUAUCCGUGGAUGCUUUAAGAAUAAGAUGUAUGAUGGAGCUUGUGUACUUAUAGAUGAGAUGUGUGCUCAUGGUUUCAAAGCAGAUGCCUCUACCACCUCCAUGCUAUUCGAUUUGUUGCAAUCGAAGGAGCAGGAUCCCGCACUCCUUGCUAUGCAGAAGAAGUUCAUGCCUUGAGUACAUCAAUGAUAGAGUUUAUUAAGGUACAAAAUACUUUUAAAUUGCCAUAACUUUGUAAUAGUUUGCUACAAAAUUUUAAAUCAAUGGCAGUUGUGAUAUUGGAGUUGAUAAAAUAUUUAAUUUUGUUAAAUAUGUACUGGGGAAAUGGUGGCCUUGUUGUAUUUGCAUCAUAUUACAUUUUGAUAAGUAUGAUAAAGCAUGAAAUUUUUCUUCGACAAAAUACUAGAAGCGGGGUUCUCAAUGGAUGCAUACGACCAGUAUAUUACGUGACCUACUUUGAAAAAAUUAGCAAUCUUGCUUUGUGUAAAAAUACUAGAAGCGGGGUUCUCAAUGGUUACGUGACCUACGUGACCAUUAUACGACCCUUCUACUCUUGCUUUGUGUAAAAACUUUGUCAUGGGUACUGCAAUCUGAUGAUGCACACUCUUCCGCAUUAUAAUUUACUUGUAAGUUUGUCUUCUAUUUUUGGCAGUGUGCUAAGAGUUAUUUUAAGUACUGUAUGGGUUACAUGUAGUUGCAUAUAGGUGUCCUGAGUGCUGCAAAUGUGAAGUACACCAACAUUUCCAUUUAUUUUGUUGAUAUAUUAGUCCUUAGUAUUUUAUAUUCUAUUCGUUGUCUCUUUGUAAUUUUAAUAUCUUUUAUAUUCUAUUCGUUGUCUCUUUGUAAUUUUAAUAUCUCUCUAAAAUACAGGGAAAUGAUCCAAAAUACUAUUCUCUGUUUCUAAAUUUGUUUUCAGUUUCAAAUAAAACUUGUUUUCAUUUUUACUAUGUUCACUAAAUUAUAUAAAAUUGCCUAAAUUUGAGUUUGUUUAUUCAGAAAUCCUCUGUGCAACUAAUAAGUAUAAACCUAUCUGCAGCUAUUGUUUUAAAAUAUAAAACCAUUCUGGAGACAAUGAGAAAGGCUGUCACUACAUCCUCGGUGUCUUACUCUUUACACCUUUUCUAAUUUAUUCACUUUCUCAUUUCUUCACUACCUGAUCCUAGUCCCAGUAUUCCAUCCCCAUAUAUUCCUUCUCCAUCUAUACCUCAUUUGCAGCUUCAGCCGUUACUUCAUUAGGAAUAUGAGGUUUGUUUUGAUUAACUAUUCCUGUGUGAUUGAUUUCAAUCAACUGUUAUCCGCCAUCGUAAAAACAUAACAAUACACUGUUGCUGUUUCUUUUUACUGAUACUUGUACUUUCUCCAUUCCAGUUGAUCUAUAUACCAUUAAUAUCGUCAUUAAUUAUUGUUGUCAAUUGAAUAGAGUUUAUUAUGCUUUUUCAUGAGCGUCUUCUUUUGCCAAAUGUUGUUACCUACACCAUUCUCUACAGGGGGUUAUCUCUCAUGACAAACCGCUGGAGGUUGAGCACUGGUUUGAGGAGCUCAGCACAAUCAGACUAAUUAAACCUGGUGUUGUUCCAUUAUUGAUAGUGUUGCAACAAACCUAUUAAUAUGGACCUUCCACUCUUGCAAGCUUAAUAAAUAUCAUCUCAACGUCUUAUUUUUGUUUUGGGCUAGUAACAAGCGCUUGUAAGUUGGCAAAGUACCAGAGUGCCCACCCCAGGAGUUUCCAUGAUUUAAUCGUCACAAUUUUAUCUUUGACUGAUACAGGGGUUGUGCUAGGCUGCCCAUUAGCAGUUUCAGCUUUGGUCGCGAACGCCCCUAUACCCCUGCUUCAUCUAUAGCUAAUUAGCAACUCCAACAGUUACUUUAUAAGCUAUUGAACUUACUUGAAUCACGAGAGCAGGAUCCUGGCGCUCCUUGAAUCAAUUUCACUGUUUCUUAAUCGGAUCAGGGUGUUUAUAUAUUAGUUGUUCCUUGAAUCAACAACUUUAUGAUCAAAUAAUUGCUGGAAGAAGCAUAUAAUAUGCUUUUGGAAUUGAAAGAAAAUAAUUGCUUGCAUGAUGAAAUUACAUACAACACUCUUAUCCACGGAUGUUUUAAGAAUAAGAUUUAUGAUGGAAGUUGUGCGGUUAUAGAUGAGAUGUGGGCUCAUUGUUUUUCUGCAGAUGCCUCUACCACCUCCAUGCUAUACGAUUUGCUGCAAUCAAAAGAGCAGGAACCCGGUCUCCUUGCGUUGCACAAGAAGUUCAUGCCUUGACGACAUCAAGGAAAGAGUUUUGUAAGCUACAAAGUACUUCUAUUUUGUAAUAGUUUGCUACGAAAUUUGAAGUCGAUAGAAAUUUGAAAUUUGAAGUAAACGUUUUGCCCUUAUCUUCGGUGCUGUUAUAUAGAAACUUCUUGAACCCUCAUGCUUAACACUUCACCUAAACAUAAAGUCUAACAUAUCUGUGCUUUUAUUAUCCUGCGACUCUGUGAGACUAUGUAUAAUGCUACAACCAAACAUUAUGAAAAAUUGUUACGACUCAUGAUUCAGUCUUUCAGUAAAGCCCUGAAGUGAAAACAUAUAUUACCCUGAAUAUUGUUGAAAUGAGGUAUGAAAAAUUGUGAUUCUGCAACUGUUCAGAUAAACUGAGUUGUCCACACUGCACAUGUUGACUAGGAUUCUAAUUAGUGAACCUGGAUACAAAAAUUGCAUCCUCUGCACAAUUAAGUCAUCACAAAAUUUCGGAAAAUUUUCAUGAGUAGACAUGAUUUUGUCAUUGAGUUUCGGAAAGUCUCUAUAUGAUUGUGUGUGCUCAACAAUACAAGAAAAUUCCGGCACUGUUUCAGAAAAAAGAGGGGUCUGUCCCUGACAUUGGGUACAUAUGUUACUAAUAAUUGAUUGUUCUGGACCAACACCCAAAAAUGAGAGAGUCUGAAAUGUCUGAUACUCUGCCCCCUGUUCAUUGCCGCUACUAUCAAGGAUAUAUAUUAUUUCGGUGCACCCCGUGACAAUUUCUGGACUAAUGACAGGAAGAAAAGCAGGGAAGCUCCAAAAGACAGCGUCUUGUGACUCAGUUAACUCUGCAAAUAACAGGAGCUACAUUUGCAGCAAAGAAAGACUGAAAUACAUGCAAAGGCAAGUCAAAAGAAGCUGAUUUUCAAAAACUUAAAUGCAGGUACUAUAUGGGAUAUAUAAUGGUGUGAUGUAAGAUCGAUAAGAUGUAUGAUGAGCUGUAAUUUGAUGUUUGUUGGAUGAAGCUAGCUUACAGGAGACAAAACAACAGCUUGGUAACUCUCUUUGCCUUAGCUGUAAUCAUGGCUAGGGUCACUUCUCUUUGCCUUAGCUCAAAUAAUGUACAAAAUGAACUGAAAAUCAUUAAAAAAGAUAUAUAUCAUAUAAGUUCAUCUCUUUUCUAUUUUAUGGCAGCCGAGUAUUGGAGGAUCCAUGUAAUACUAUAUCAUAUAAGUUCUCCUAGUACUCCCGGUGAAAACGGGGCCUUGCGUUGAUCCAAAGAGUCAUAUUACUUGGUUAGUCCGAUUUAACUGCUUUUACGCCUUUUUCGCUAGAGUUUCUAAAUAUUUACCUCGAAACAAAUCAUGAUCUCCAUGUAGAAAAUAUGAUUAGUAAUAUCCAUUUUCCGACAGUAUCUUAGUUGGAGUUUUUGUAGGCAUCUGUGCUUGCCUUAUCCUGCAAGACCAUGAACCAAUGCCGCCAUCCAACAUUAUGGAAAAUGUUAUGACUCGUGAGUCUGUGACCAUGAAGAUGACAGAGUAAGCCAGAACAUAAAGCCUUCAAGUGAAACCAUAUGAUACCAUAAACAGACAUCAAGUCUGAGUAAUCUUGAAAUGAGAUACGAAAAAUGGUGAUUCUGCAGUUUUCAGAGAAACAGAAGCAUGGAUCAUGGUGAAAGACACACUUGUGUCCACACUGUACAUGUUGACCAACAAAGAUUCCUAAUUAGUUAUUCAUCAUUGUUUUUGGCAAUUUCUUACCAACAUUAUGUUAUGUUUAAUCAUAACAUAAUCUUGUAAAACAAGAUUCAUUUUAAUCUCAUUUUAUCUUCGAUUAUAAAUUCUUGUAAAACAAGAUUCAUUUUAAUCAUCAAAUAGAUUUGGCACGUUAUGUUUGGGCAGUUCGGCUUACCCCAAGUGCAAAUCCACUUUUCCGGUCCUAUCGACUAGCAUCCCUAAAGGCUAAACUUAUACUCCAUGCAACUCAUCCGAUUUUUAUCAUUUAGAAUAGAGUGCUCAACAUGCAUGUUAACUCUCACAGAAAAUAGAGAAAUUGACAAAAAUACCUCUUUUUACCAUCUUUAUUGACAAACUACGACUUGCCUCGAAUUAUUGCAAAUAUACGAUUACUUUAUAAUUUUAAUUGUAACAUUUGCAUAAGUACACCGUUUGUUUUUGCUGCAUCAUCAUCUUCAUCUUCUCAUUUUACCAUCUUUACUUCAAAACUACGGCUUGUCUCGAAUCAUUGCAAACAUACGGUUACUUUAUAAUUUUAAUUGUACCAUUUGUAUAAGUACACUGUUUGUUUUUUGCUACGACAUGAUCUUCAUCUGAAAAUCUCUCCCAGCGGUCUCUCUCACUCCAGGAACAACGAGCCACAACCUCACGUCGCCGUGAAAUUCAAUAAACACCAUUCUUGAUUCUCCCCUCUCUCAGGCGUCUCGUCUCUUUCUUUUCUCCUCGCCUUCUUUCUCCCAUUUCUCUUCACACCGCACCAACCUCUGCCUCGAAAACCACGCCUUCCACGUUGUGCAACCCUUCGAUUAUGAGGCCCGGAUCUUCCGGGUUUAAUUAAACGAAUAAACUCAAAAUCCACACCCCGUUCGUCUGAAUUGGUUAUGAUUGUACCGAAGUCGAAAGUCAACCCCCAUCUUCAUCUUAAUUGGUUGAUUUUGGUUCAUUUGGUGAUUGUUUUUAUUUGAUUUUGUGGUUGUUUUUAUGUUAUUGUUAUAGGCCCCGCAGGGGCAUCCAUCUACAACUAGUUGCAACUUAUUAUGCAACUAAAUGUGAUUUUCAAAAGAUUUUUUCAAAAUUGCAUUUGUGGUUGCAUAUAUUGUUGCUAGCAGUUGCAGAUAUUGUUCCAUAUGCAACCUCCGUAUUUUUGAAAAUAUUUUUUGAGUAAUAGUAUUUUUUCAAUUGUGUUAAAGAAUAAUAGUAUUUUUGCAAAAAAUCGUUUAGACUAGGGUAUUUAUGAAAAAAACUCAAAAAAAAAUAUAGUUACAUAACUUAUUUUUAAAUAUUUGUUUUUCUGAAAAAAGAGUUUAAAAUAUUAAAUUUUUAUUCAGACAAAGAAAAUUUUAAAAAUAAAUUAUAGAACUAUAUUUUCAUGAGUUUUAAAAUACGUGUCGAGCACUCCCCUCCAAAGAAUAAGAAUCGGAGGGACGGAGGGAGUAACUUAUAAUUUAACGUGAAUAAAAAUCCCUUUAGCUAAGUUUAUGACUUGAUAUAAUUUAUAACUUAAAGUGAUUUAGAAUCUGUUCAUUGAGUUUAUGACUUAUGUGAGAAACUGAGUUUAAAAUAUUUAUUUAGGUAAUUUUGAUUUGUUAAUAAUUUAUGAGUUAUCAAAAAUAUAAUAAUAAAAAUAAAAGUGAUUUAUUGAUAACUUUUGUCUUAUGAGUAAUAUAUAUUAUUAUUAUUUUUUCAAAAAUUAAGUAACUAAAACAAGUGCCUCAAACUGGCCUUAAGCCGGUUUACGACUUAUUUCUAAAUUUAAAAACGGAUUUAGAUUUGCUCAUAUUAUUAUUUUAAAAUAACCAAGCAAACAACCCUUUCUUAGCUAUGAUUCGAGGGGGAGAGCAUUUUUAAAGACGAAUGGAAAAAAGAGAAAGUAAACUUGCGAAAAGGGAAAGUAAGUGCGAGAGUGAGGAGGAUGAUGUCGAGAAUGAGAAGCGCUUUCACUGCUUGCUUCAGCUCAAACGCUAUUUGUGACAAGGCCUUUCUUGGAUCUCUGAGACCCGGUACUACUGCUCUUACUACUACUAGUUCUUGUCGUGUUAAUAUUGCAUUUCUUCGAUUGCAUUCACUUUCUCAACCCCCCACUUGCGCUAACCCUAAUCACAUACCCAAUCAUCUUACGGAAUUUCAACAAUUACUGUUGGAGAAAUCUAGAGUUGGUUUUGAUAAGCCUGAGGAUGCUCUUAGAUUGUUUGAUAAAAUGCUCCGUAUGAAACCUCUGCCUAGUGUCAUCAACUUUACUCAACUCUUGUCCGCCCUUGUCAAGAUGAAACAUUACUCUGUGG
rnacentral:lncRNA from 1 species